CCCUCUGGGGUGCAGCAGGACGUUGGAAAUUGGAAGUAUGUAGAUAACGGCCAGUACAGGGUUGUGGAUGACGCCAAGAAUGUCUACACAAUCGACAACAAUAUGCGUGUCAUCAAAGCUGUCGACGCCAAUGGGAAUGACCUUCCAGACGCCCUGACCAAGACCGCCGCUUUCGAUCCGGUUGCAAUUGAAUCUGGCGUUAUGAACCUGCGCAAGGCUGCUAAUACUGAGUUCAUCAAUGGCGUAGAGAAGCUGAUGAAAGCCCCGACUGA
rnacentral:rRNA from 1 species